rnacentral:lncRNA from 1 species
AUUUAUCUCUGUCAUGGCACUCCUGUAGUUUCUUUCUGAUAACUUGAAAAUAUGGUAUAGAAGUUCUGGAGAACCCUCUUAAACUUUGCUUGAAUGAAACAUUUGCUUGUUUGGAGAAUGAUCAAAUGAUCUUGUUUUGUGCUUCUUUAUUGUAGGAUGGACGCCGAGUACAUGUGAUUGAAAGGGAUUUGAGUGAACCUGACAGGAUCGUGGGUGAAUUGCUACAACCUGGGGGAUAUUUGAAGUUAAUUGAGUUGGGUCUUCAGGGUAAGCAACCUGAAAAUAUGAAAGGGUUUAAUUUUCAUAAUGUAACUGUAAAGAUUGUUAGACCAUCAAUUAAAUAGAAACCUAAACAUACAAACACGUAAUUAUCCUAGGAAGAGAAUUACAAUAAUAGGAAUAGAAAUCGGAAUUAUGGAAAGGGUUAGUUACCAAUGGAAGAUUGCAAAAAAGGAAUUAAAUUUGGAUAGAUGAUGAGAGAGGUAAGAAGAU